CAUCAAUAAGAUUAGAAAUCGAGAAAGUAUUUUGGUGUUGAUAUUCAAACCAUCCUCAAUUUUCGGUCUUCAUCUUGCAUUCUUCCCAAAUCUGAUAUCGUAAUUUCGUAAAUCAUGUGACCUCUUCCAAUCUCUCACACAUUAUAUAUACCAUAAAAGCUUAAAAUUGUUAUCUACAAUAACAUUUUUUUCCCUUUCAUGUUUGGACACGAAGGUUUUACUUUUCGUUGCUUAGACACUCAACUUUUCAUUUCCCUUCUAACUACACAAAGUUCAUAUCUUUUCUCAUCCUUAUCUUCGCUUCUCACCACCUAUCUCAUCCAAUAACUUUCUCACUCUUCUCUCAGUUACUUUUCUCUCAACCAUGGUUAUUCUCGGCAGAAUCGAACCAUCGUCUCCGCCCCGAGAAGCGACCCUACCAAUGACACAGACAGCAAACAUCGGUGUAACACUCAUGAUUUCGACAAAUAUUGCCCAACUGGUCCGUUGAAAGGAGGAAAGAGGCAAAGAGGGUUUUUGGUUGAAGGAAAUCCAGAGUGGACAACAUAAAGCGAACCCAGGGAGUUCUUGCUUCCCUUUUUCUUCAAGAGGAACCAUGAAGACAACACUCAUGUGCCUCCACAACUUUCACCAUCAUUCGACUGAUUCAAGUAUUUCUUCUUACAAAGAUUACACCACUUAAGGAGUUGGUUGAAGUGGUUCAAGUGCGAGGGGAUGUUGUGGAAGAAUAAGGUACUCAUUGAAAAAGGGGUUGGAUUACUUUUGUUGCUGAUAUCUGGCUUAUUUGAUAUCGCACAUCAAGUGCUUGAUGAAAUUCUUCAAAGAACUGAUACAGCUCUCAAAGUGCGGGUUAAUUAAUUUAUUGUGCUGUAUAUAUAUGUAUUGUUGAUCUGAUUUUAUAUAGAUCUGUAUCAUUUUUCAUUUUUAUAUCUCAAGCUCACAAAUAAGAUGUCUUUAUUUUUAUUAGGAAGACUAUUCUAGACAUUUAACUAGGGUACAGACGGUUUUUAUAUAUUAUUUUUCUUUAUUAAAGGGUAGGCAUGAUUUCCUUGUUACUUAACGUUGUUACAAGUAUGAUUUAUGUACUUUUGUCUUUGCUGAAGGGUAUUUUAGACAUUUAAUAUAUUGUUAAAACAUUUUCCUAAAGGGUACACAUGAUCUAUGCAGGAGAUGCGAAAGAAACUUGAACAACUUAUAGAAAACCUCAAAAAACAAAUAAACAAACUCUCCAAGGAAAUUAAUUAAAAAUUUAGUUUUUUUUUAAAAAAAAAAAUUAUAUUUUAACUCUUCAAAAUUAUAUGUUUUGACUCUUCAAAAAUAUUUGCCCCAAUAAAACGUUAUAAAAAAUAUAUUUGCCCCCUCUUUAGAAAAAUUUUCGGUCCGCCCCUGAAUGCGCUCCUAUGUUUACUGCAUCUUCCCAGAAAUUAUCUUUUGCUAAUGUAGUGGUCCGAUGCGAUCAUCUUUUGCUAAUCUAUUCCUUGCUAUGUAACUGAUAUCAAAAUCAAGAAAAGGAUUUUUCACACCCCUUUCUUGUGUUGAAGACUAGGAAGACGAAUAACCCCUCCCAGAAAUAUUUGUUCCCUUCAAUUAUCCGUUCUAUUUUGCGUUUACUUUUGUAUAGGAUCUAGCCGAAGUCCAUUGUAUUAGACUCAAAUGCAUUUUAUGACAUUUUAAUCUGCCAAUAGCAACAUAAUAACAUCACCCCAAAUUUUUAUAAAAAAAACAAAAACAAAGAAAGAAGGGGUCAAGUCAAAUAGUCUUCUUCACAAUCUACAUACUGUGGCUAGGAAUGUGGUACAAGGAAUUCCCGG